CCUGUUGCUGCUUCAGGUGUUGCUGCCGCUGGUGGUGCCCCUGCCAAGGAAGAAAAGAAGGCUGAAGUUAAGGAAGAGAUUGAUGAAGAAGAAUUUGGAUUUGAUAUGUUCGGUGAUGAAUAGGAGAGUUAUUAAUAUUUAUCAGUAUUGUAUUUCGAAUUUUGGUACAAGAGAUUCUCUGUUCUGUUUCUAUUAAAUCUUUUUUUUCUAGUUAUUGCAAACAGUUUUAUGGGUUACCAGUUAACUUCUUUGCGUUUUUGCACUAAAUUGCCGAUUGUCUUAAUUUUGAGCAAAACUUUCUUGUUAUUCAACUAUGAACAAGAAUAUUUGAUA